UCCCUCGUGGCGCAAUUGGCUAGCGCGUUCGACUGUUAAUCGAGAGGUUGGUGGUUCGGGGCCCCCCCAGGGAG
rnacentral:tRNA from 1 species